GUACACUCCUACGGGAGGCAGCAGUAGGGAAUCUUCGGCAAUGGGGGCAACCCUGACCGAGCAACGCCGCGUGAGUGAAGAAGGUUUUCGGAUCGUAAAGCUCUGUUGUAAGUCAAGAACGAGUGUGAGAGUGGAAAGUUCACACUGUGACGGUAGCUUACCAGAAAGGGACGGCUAACUACGUGCCAGCAGCCGCGGUAAUACGUAGGUCCCGAGCGUUGUCCGGAUUUAUUGGGCGUAAAGCGAGCGCAGGCGGUUUGAUAAGUCUGAAGUUAAAGGCUGUGGCUCAACCAUAGUUCGCUUUGGAAACUGUCAAACUUGAGUGCAGAAGGGGAGAGUGGAAUUCCAUGUGUAGCGGUGAAAUGCGUAGAUAUAUGGAGGAACACCGGUGGCGAAAGCGGCUCUCUGGUCUGUAACUGACGCUGAGGCUCGAAAGCGUGGGGAGCGAACAGGAUUAGAAACCCGGGUAGUCCCA
rnacentral:rRNA from 1 species